rnacentral:rRNA from 1 species
CCCUUAGAUGUCCGGGGCUGCACGCGCGCUACACUGAAUGAAUCAGCGUGCUAGAAAACCUUGUUUGACAUGGCUAGGUAACCCAUUGAAAAUCAUUCGUGAUUGGGAUCGGGACUUGCAAAUGUGUCCCUUGAACGAGGAAUUCCCAGUAAGUGCGGGUCAUCAGCUCGCGUUGAUUACGUCCCUGCCCUUUGUACACACCGCCCGUCGCUGCCCGGAACUGAGCCGUUUCGAGAAAGCCGGGGACCGACGACUCGUGGGUGCGCAAGCACUUCUAGUCGAUGGAAACCAGUUUAAUCGGUAUGGCUUGAACCGGGCAAAAGUCGUAACA